rnacentral:misc_RNA from 1 species
AACAAGGCGUACCUGCGGACCUGCGGAAGGAUCAUUACAGAGUGUUUAACCCCCUAUAAAAUGGUGGGUCUAACCUCCCGUCCUUUGCUGGGUCCCCCUUCUGGAGGACUUUCAAAACUUUCUGCUUCGGCGGGGUAUACCUGCCGGAACACCCUCAAAAAAUUCUUGAUCAAAAUGGUUCCGGUCCGAGAAACUUUUUGUGAAAAUUAGCGAAAAACUUUUAACAAUGGAUCUCAGAUC